ensembl:lncRNA
GGAGAGUUUAAUAGAGUUUGACCUCAGCAGUUCUAACCUCUAGUACAGAGAGUUUUAAUUCUUUGCCAUCAGUCUUGGGAAGGGUCACCCUGCUCCGCUCAGAGACACCUUGCUACCUCCGCAUUCUUCAUCACUGGGGAGGAGAAACAGCUCCAGUGGCGAGUCCGCUUGCUUGGUGCCUUGGGUACUUAUUUCUGUAAAAACUCAACAAGAAGGGAUAGCACGGUUAAGGCCGAGUUCAUAUGGCAAGAGUCCCAGUUCAUUUCAUUGCGGUUCUGGUCUUCUCUCCUGGCUUUCCCCCUGCAAUCAGCAGGGUCUUGGUUGUGUUUCUAUACCCUUGAUCUCUCUGGGUCAGACCCCAGCUCACCACACAGCUGGGUUGGUGGUGAGAACCUAGGUGGGCCCCUUACUGUGGCCAUGAGGCCUCGGACGCACGGAUCUUCUUAACUCCAGCUGCAUAUUGCUGUGCGUGCGCGCAUGCUCAGUUGCUUCAGUCAUGACUGGCUCUUUGCGACCCUAUGGACAGUAGCCCGCCAGGCUCCUCUGUCCAUGGGAUUCUCCAGGCAAGAAUACCAGAGUGGAUUCCCAGGCCCUCCUCCAGGGGAUCUUCCCACGGACGGAACUUGCAUCUCCUAUAUCUCCUGCAUUGCAGCUGGAAAAUUGCUAUUUGUUUUGGGCUGCGUUCAGUGAGCUGUGAACUGCCCCAGGAUUAAUUAAACCUGCCUGUUCAUCAUCUAUCGGUGUAUCAGCUGUUAGUGAUAAGAGGCCCUUGAGAAGUUGAGGAGAACGAUGGGUGAGCAAAGCAGAUGGGCAAGUGCAAGGGAAGCCUCAAAACCCAAGACUAAGUUGAAUGCUUCUGAGAGCCACUGAACUGAAUUUGGCAAACACUGCUGGUCUGUUUCUCAUGUCAAUCAUGGGAGUUGCAGAACUGGGUCUGGAUGGAUGUUCAGGAAUUUGCAAGAGCAAAGAACAUUCUCCCUGUGUGGCAACUGGACACUGAACAUGGACUCUGGAGGGAGGUGGACAUGGCUAGCAGGGCCUGCCAGGUUGAAAGGCAGCAUCAACACGAUUGACAGCUGAAACCCGACCCUCUGCACCACACCCAGAAGCCCCUGGACAACUUCCGGCUGCCCCAGGGUGAGGAGGGAGCUUGUGGCCCUACUCAGUGCUGGACAGGCAGGGGGAAAGCUGGACCAUCUUUGCAGUUCAGAUCAUCACCUGGAAGGGUCUGUGGCAUCGUGCCCUGGCCUCGCAUCACAAAGGUCUUUGCGCGAUGUUCUGGCUUCCAGGCUGUGUGGCUAAGUGUCGGGAAAUGAAGGCACAUGGAGGCCGAAGGAGGGUCUCACGGCUGCUCUGAGUUCCAGCAGCUGAGAAGCCUGUGGCUGGUGGCCUUGCCUGAUGGCCCUUUAUGAUGUCAUAGUCUGGCCCAUGUUAGACUCUCCACAAAUGUUAUUGGAUGGAUAGAUGGAUGGACAGAUGGUAUUACUUAAACCAAGCAGCUGUACUCUCUCUUGCUUGAUAAGUGAUUAAUAAAAUAAGACAUUCCCAGUCUUUCUUUUUAUUAAUAAGUCAAAAAGGGAAAGGUGAAAGUGCAUAUAUAUGUAUGUAUAACUGAUUCACUUUGCUGCACAUCUGAAACUAACAGCAUUGUAAGUCAACUAUAUACCAGUAUAAGAUUAAAAGAAGGAAAGUUGAAUGUAUGCAAAUGUGUGGGAGUAUAUACAUGUGGGAGAGUGUAUAAGUAUGUAUGUGAGUGUGUGUGUGUGUGUGCUUUUGUGUGAACACAUGUACCUGCCUAAGUACUUGUGACUCUGGGUACAUGUGAUUGUGUGUACAUAUAUGUGAGAGUGUCCUUGGGUGUGUCUGUGUAUGGGGUGUGUGAGUGUGAGUUUGUGAAUGUCUGAGCGUGAGGAUAUGCACGACAGUCACCUACACACGAACCUUCAAACUGCAAACUUUGAAAGAUACGAAUGUGCAUCUAGUUCCAGCAAGGAGCCAGAACCCAUGCCGUCAGCAUCAGGCGUGAGUGAACUCUUAGCUUGCCCUCCGUCUCCUGUUGCUGACGGCCCUUCAGCUCUACCGUCUCCCACCUCCUCUCCCUCCUCCAUCAGGAACUCUUCUGGCCUGUUCACUCCGUGCCAGCCCCUGUGUGCCAGCUAUUGUACUGUGCUUUACUUUCAUAGGUCCUCUAAGAUUAAAAAUGUUUUCCUAAUUUUCUGUUUGUUUUUUAUGAAUUAUUUAUGUGAAAAGUAUUAUAAACCUAUUGC